GACGAACGCUGGCGGCGUGCUUAACACAUGCAAGUCGUACGGUAAGGCCCUUUCGGGGGUACACGAGUGGCGAACGGGUGCGUAACACGUGAGUAACCUGCCCACAACUUUGGGAUAACGCUAGGAAACUGGUGCUAAUACUGGAUGUGUGCUCCUGCUGCAUGGUGGGGGUUGGAAAGCUCCGGCGGUUGUGGAUGGACUCGCGGCCUAUCAGCUUGUUGGUGGGGUAGUGGCCUACCAAGGCGGCGACGGGUAGCCGGCCUGAGAGGGUGACCGGCCACAUUGGGACUGAGAUACGGCCCAGACUCCUACGGGAGGCAGCAGUGGGGAAUAUUGCACAAUGGGCGCAAGCCUGAUGCAGCAGCGCCGCGUGCGGGAUGACGGCCUUCGGGUUGUAAACCGCUUUCAGCAGGGACGUAGCUUUUUGUGACGGUACCUGCAGAAGAAGCACCGGCUAACUACGUG
rnacentral:rRNA from 1 species